rnacentral:rRNA from 1 species
GACGAACGCUGGCGGCGUGCCUAAUACAUGCAAGUAGAACGCUGAAGAGAGGAGCUUGCUCUUCUUGGAUGAGUUGCGAACGGGUGAGUAACGCGUAGGUAACCUGCCUUGUAGCGGGGGAUAACUAUUGGAAACGAUAGCUAAUACCGCAUAACAAUGGAUGACACAUGUCAUUUAUUUGAAAGGGGCAAUUGCUCCACUACAAGAUGGACCUGCGUUGUAUUAGCUAGUAGGUGAGGUAAUGGCUCACCUAGGCGACGAUACAUAGCCGACCUGAGAGGGUGAUCGGCCACACUGGGACUGAGACACGGCACAGACUCAUACGGGAGGCAGCAGUAGGGAAUCUUCGGCAAUGGGGGCAACCCUGACCGAGCAACGCCGCGUGAGUGAAGAAGGUUUUCGGAUCGUAAAGCUCUGUUGUAAGUCAAGAACGGGUGUGAGAGUGGAAAGUUCACACUGUGACGGUAGCUUACCAGAAAGGGACGGCUAACUACGUG